GCUGUCUGAAAUAACACAGAGAGAGUGAGUCAGCCCGUGACAUCCUUUACAUCAGUGGUUAAGGAUGGGUGUGGCUGGCCUCCUGGACACAGGUAACCAAAGGACACAGGAUGCAACCCAGUGCUGACACCGUGUGCUAAUUCCAGCACAGACUGGCUGACAGCGGGGCCUCUGUCUGGGGGACUACAAGCUGCAAAGCAGGGAGGUAAUCCUGGAGCUAUUUUUAGCACAGCAUCUCAGGGCAUAGAGGACUUAGGACGUGCCUGCAAAGGGAAUUCAUCGGAUGGAAAUGCAGGCGUGUAGCCUGCUUCACUUCCUUCCCCACCCCCCCAAAGAGUCCUUUCUACUGCCUGACCCGCAGUGGCCUCGCUUCCUACCUCUGUGGUGAACUGAUGCAAGGGUCCUAAGGCCUCUGUGCAAGAAAUGCUCAGCCACGAACAAGACAACAAAACUAGAAGACUUGGUUGGAAUCAGCUGCUUUGGAAAACCGAAGAAAACCAAGUGUCUUAAUACUUCCGUUUAUAACAAGUGCCCCAAACAGGCUCAGCUUGGUUGGAAAUAUUGGCACGGUGGAAAUCAGUAGAACCUUAAACGAAGCCACAGACAAUUUCCCUUGUGCUACAAUGGAAACUCCACGCUCUCACAACACCUAAGGGCUUUCCUACCAAUAAAACUCGUUCGUGGAGGAUGAUGCCAUCAGAAAAACUCUGAUUGGCUGAGUGUUUUGCUGGCAGCCGAAAUUUUUCCAAGGACCUUUUUAGGUAGCAGACAAGGUAUUUGGUUUUUGGCUUUUCUUCCAACACGUUCAUCAUCAUAAUAACUAGCAUAUACGUUCUUCCCCCGGAGGCUGUUUCUGCAGAAGGUCAGAGUCCACUUUUCUAGAGCAUCUCCGCGCGUACAUACCUCUUGGUCUGGCAGUCCUUGACUUGUCACUGCAGUUGUAAAGUUGAAGCUGGAGGGCCAGAGGUUUGAACUCACUUUUGGCUACGUGGAGACAAAAAGUUCAAGGAUGUCUCAUUGAAGUCCAGAGGAGGGAAUAAGGUGAGAGAUUUCAACCGCACAACCCACUCCCGCCCCACCACUUCUUGAUGCCUAAUGGCCCCUAUUGGCGUCGGGACCAAACUCUCUGUCUGGACUCCCUGAGGUUCUCCUUGGGUCAAGGCCUGGGAAGUGGAACUGAAGACAGGAAACCCGGGGGGCCAGUCUGUAGCAUCUGGAGUGGGUUACAGUUCUGUCACUCAAGAUCUGUGCUCCCUCUAUGAUGCUGCUGCUAAUAAGCCACGGGUCCUUGGACAAGACACCAAACCCUGUCUGCUUUUCAGCUUAUAAACAUUUCAGAGAGAGGCUGGAGUGAUAGCUCAGUGCUUACGUGCACCAGCUGCUCUUUCAGAGGACACAGUUUGAUUCUCAGAACUCACACGAUGGCUCACAUAAGUCUACGGCCCCAGUUCUAAUGAGCUACACACACCCUUUUAGACCUCGUGGGCAGCAGGUACACACGUGGUGCACACACAUGCAUGUGGGCAAAGUAUCCACAUAUAUUUGAAAAAAUUCAAAGGUGAGGUUUCAGAGAAAGUUGAAUGAGCAAAUAAACCCAGCUGGUCCUUCGUAUCCAGAGCUUCCAUAGUCGUAGAUUCAAGCAACUGUAGUUAAAAUAUAUUUUUUAUUGAUGUUUUUGGUGUCUAGUCACACACUCUUCUUGUCCCAGAACUCGGGGAGAGGAAACAGAAAAAUCAGGAGUUCAAGGCCAUCCCAGCUCUACUACAGAUGGAGGCCAGCCUGUAUGGAGCUGAGUUGGAGGAACGCUUGCUUAACAUGCGUGAGGCCCUUAAUUUAACUCCCAGUGUUAUAUCAAGCAGUGCGGUAAAACGUGACUACGAUUUCAGCAUUUGACAAGUGGAGGCAGGUAGAUCUGACGUUCAAUAUCAUCCUUGGUUACAUGGAGAGUUCAAAGUUAUCCUGGGUUAUAUACUCUACUUAA